GGAUCUGUAGCUCAGCUGGCUAGAGCGUUUCAUUCACAUUGAAAAGGUCAGUGGUUCGAGUCCACUCAGGUCCA
rnacentral:tRNA from 1 species